GUAGGUGGCAAGCGUUGUCCGGAAUUAUUGGGCGUAAAGCGCGCGCAGGCGGUUCUUUAAGUCUGAUGUGAAAGCCCACGGCUCAACCGUGGAGGGUCAUUGGAAACUGGAGAACUUGAGUACAGAAGAGGAAAGCGGAAUUCCACGUGUAGCGGUGAAAUGCGUAGAGAUGUGGAGGAACACCAGUGGCGAAGGCGGCUUUCUGGUCUGUAACUGACACUGAGGCGCGAAAGCGUGGGGAGCAAACAGGAUUAGAUACCCUGGUAGUCCACGCCGUAAACGAUGAGUGCUAAGUGUUAGGGGGUUUUCCGCCCCCCUUAGUGCUGCAGCUAACGCAUUAAGCACUCCGCCUGGGAGUACGGCCGCAAGGCUG
rnacentral:rRNA from 1 species